rnacentral:rRNA from 1 species
GCCUCCAUGGUGUUUGCACUCCAGGCAGCCACCUCGAUGGGAUUGUCUUCGCCGCCGCCGUUUCACUUCGGUCAUCUCAUCACCAUCAAGCUCUCCGCCGACAACUACAUCUUCUGGUGUGCGCAGGUUCUCCCGCUCUUGGGGAGUCACUACCUGCUAGGCUACGUCGACGGGUCGCUUCCCUGCCCACCCGCGCUGGUAGACAGCGUGCACGGUCCGGUCUACAAUCCGGCCCAUCGCGUCUGGACGGGGCAGGACCAGGCGAACCUCUCCUCCAUCCAGGGGUCGCUCUCGGCGGCAGUUGCCGGCCUUGUUGUCUUCGCGAAGACGUCUCAUAAGGCCUGGACCAUCCUUGAGCGCACCUUUGCAGCGCAGUCCCAGGCUCGUGUCUCUGCACUCCGUCGUCAGCUUGGAGAGUGUCAGAAGCUUGACUCCACUGCCACUGAGUUCUACAACAAGGUCAAGGGCCUCGCCGACACAUUGGCCUCCAUUGGACAGCCCCUCACCGACUCCGAGUUCAACUCGUUUAUUGUCAAUGGUCUUGAUGAGGAGUAUGAUGCCUUAGUCGAGAUCAUCAACGAGCGGGGCAACUCGACACCCAUGCUGGCACACGAGGUUUUC